UACGUAGGGCGCAAGCGUUGUCCGGAAUUAUUGGGCGUAAAGAGCUCGUAGGCGGCCUGUUGCGUCCGCUGUGAAAUCCCGGGGCUCAACCCCGGGCCUGCAGUGGAUACGGGCUGGCUGGAGGCAGGCAGGGGAGAACGGAAUUCCUGGUGUAGCGGUGAAAUGCGCAGAUAUCAGGAGGAACACCGGUGGCGAAGGCGGGUCUCUGGGCCGAUACUGACACUGAGGAGCGAAAGCGUGGGGAGCGAACAGG
rnacentral:rRNA from 1 species